AACUAUUAAGUUUUAAACGUAUGUUUUGAAAACAUAAAUAGGAGAAAAACCUCCAAUAGUUU
rnacentral:tRNA from 1 species